rnacentral:misc_RNA from 1 species
UGAAUCAUUUUAUGAAAUGCUUCAGUAUCAGAUGGGCUCCCGUAUUUUUGCGUUUCUGCAGAAACUACGCAUAAAAUUUGUAACAAAAAGAAAUCAACGGAAGAGGCUGUGGGAGGAAAUGGAAGAGAAGGAAAAGGAGAGGAAAUCAUCAACCAAACGACAGAAGACUAAUGAACAGCCUGUGAACACCAAAUCGGCUGAAUCUGAAUUGUUGGGCACAGAUCAAUCUGAGGAUCAAAGAACUAAGAAAAAGGAAGAUACUUCUGUUGCUAAGGGUAAUGAAGCAAAGUUGGAAGAUGAAACUGAUUAUGAAGAAGACCCAGAAGAAGAUCCUGAAGAAUGUGAAGAAAUGGAGGAUGCUGGAGAUGACUUGUCUGAUGAGAAGGAUGAAGAAGAGGGAAAGAUGAGUCUGGAUGCUGUCCAUGAACCAGUGACUGGCAAUGGGAAAGAAAAA